rnacentral:rRNA from 1 species
UGGGGAAUAUUGCACAAUGGGCGAAAGCCUGAUGCAGCGACGCCGCGUGAGGGAUGACGGCCUUCGGGUUGUAAACCUCUUUCAGCUCCGACGAAGCGAAGGUGACGGUAGGAGCAGAAGAAGCACCGGCCAACUACGUGCCAGCAGCCGCGGUAAUACGUAGGGUGCAAGCGUUGUCCGGAAUUAUUGGGCGUAAAGAGCUCGUAGGCGGCUUGUCGCGUCGGCUGUGAAAACCUGGGGCUCAACUCCGGGCCUGCAGCCGAUACGGGCAAGCUAGAAUUCGGUAGGGGAGACUGGAAUUCCCGGUGUAGCGGUGAAAUGCGCAGAUAUCAGGAGGAACACCGGUGGCGAAGGCGGGUCUCUGGGCCGAUAUUGACGCUGAGGAGCGAAAGCGUGGGGAGCAAACA